GACGUAGGGCGCGAGCGUGUCCGGAUUUAUUGGGCGUAAAGAGCUCGUAGGCGGCUUGUUGCGUCGGCUGUGAAAACCCAUGGCUCAACCGUGGGCUUGCAGCCGAUACGGGCAGGCUAGAGUUCGGUGAGGGGAGACUGGAAUCCUGGUGUAGCGGUGAAAUGCGCAGAUAUCAGGAGGAACACCGAUGGCGAAGGCGCUCGCUGGGACGGUACUGACGCUGAGACGCGAAAGCGUGGGGAGCGAACAGG
rnacentral:rRNA from 1 species